UACGAAGGGGGCUAGCGUUGUUCGGAAUUACUGGGCGUAAAGCGCACGUAGGCGGGUUGUUAAGUCAGGGGUGAAAUCCCGGAGCUCAACUCCGGAACUGCCUUUGAUACUGGCAAUCUAGAGACUGGAAGAGGUUAGUGGAAUUCCCAGUGUAGAGGUGAAAUUCGUAGAUAUUGGGAAGAACACCUAUGGCGAAGGCAGCUCGCUGGGACGUUACUGACGCUGAGACGCGAAAGCGUGGGGAGCAAACAGG
rnacentral:rRNA from 1 species